CUAAGCCAAGUCUCCUUCAAAAUGGUGGAGUGCAGAGAAUCAGAGAGUGGUUGUAGAGGGAAGUAGACAACACAGCAAAUAGUAGCUGUCCGUAACUCACUCCAGAUGCGUCUCUGGGACCACUGCAUAUCCUUAGGAAGACAGCCUAUGGUUAGAGAUAGUCCUCAAUUCAGAGAAGGGAACUGUGUCACCUGGUGGAGCAAAUAACUUAAUCCCUCUGUGUCUGAUUUAUCAACCAAAACUGAUCUUCUCUUAUCUGACGGGGAACGUGAACAGUGAUUAUCCACUUAGCCCAGAUCCAUUCUCUGAUUUUUAAAAAUGUGAUUUGCUAACACAUACCAGACUUCACAUAGGGAGAAGAUGAGGAAACCAAGACACAGAGAAGAUAAACAACUUGCCUGAAGUCACAAAUGGUAAGUGGUGGAGCUGGGAUGUGAACCUGG
rnacentral:lncRNA from 1 species